rnacentral:rRNA from 1 species
CUGGCGAGCAAGCUUAAGGCGAUAGCUGUAGGCGAAGCGAAAGCGAGUCUGAACAGGGCGUUCAGUUCGUCGGACUAGACCCGAACCAGUCGAUCUAUCCAUGGCCAGGUUGAAAGCAGGGUAACACCUGCUGGAGGACCGAACCGGUGCCUGUUGAAAAAGUCUCGGAUGAGCUGUGGAUAGGGGUGAAAGGCCAAUCAAGGCUGGAAAUAGCUGGUUCUCCGCGAAAUCUAUUUAGGUAGAGCCUCGAGUGAAUACCCCAGGGGGUAGAGCACUGGAUGGGCUAGGGGCCCCCACAGGGUUACCAAACCUAACCAAACUCCGAAUACCUGGGAGUACUGCUCGGGAGACACACGGCGGGUGCUAACGUCCGUCGUGAAAAGGGAAAAAACCCUGACCGACAGCUAAGGUCCUCAAGUCACGGCUAAGUGUGAAAGGAUGUGGAAAUCCCAUAACAACCAGGAGGUUGGCUUAGAAGCAGCCAUCCUUUAAAGAAAGCGUAACAGCUCACUGGUCUAAUUAAGGGUUUCUGCGCCGAAAAUGUAACGGGGC